rnacentral:rRNA from 1 species
UACGAAGGGAGCUAGCGUUACUCGGAAUAAUCGGGCGUAAAGCGUGUGAAGGUUGUUUUUAUUUACAUAUACUAAAAGAUAAAGGAUGUAAGCUUUUAUAAUGUAUAUUUGAUUAUAUUACUCGAGUUUAGAAUAAGAUAGUCGUACUUCUAGUUUAGGGUUAAAAUCUACUGAGAUUAGAAAGACGGUCAUUAGGUGUAGACUACUAUCUAUGAUAAAACUGACACUGAAGCACAAAAGUAUGGGGAGCGAAUAGGAUUAGAUACCCUAGUAGUCCAUACCCUGACCUAUGAGUGUUGGAUGUAAGAGUAAAAUUUUGUAUCUAAGUUAACGCGUAAACACUCCGCCUGGGCAGUACGAUCGCAAGGUUGAAACUCAAAGGAAUUGACGGAGAUCAGCACAUGCGGUGGAACAUGUGAUUCAAUGCGUAAGUACGCGCAAACCUUACCUAUUCUUGUUUACUACUUAUUUAGCUUUAUAUGUCUGUAGUAGUAAUCAGGUGCUGCAUGGUUGUCGUAAGUCCGUGUUGAGAAAUGUUAGGUUAAUUCCCUGAACGGACGCAACCCUUACUUCUAUUGUUUAAAUGUAAAAUUUAUUAAUUGAAGUUACUGCUUAUUUUAAAUAAGAGGAAGCAGGGGAGUAAGUCAAAUCUUCAUGGCCUUUAUGCUUAGGGCUAUCCACGUGUUACAAUGGUUAUUACAAAAAGAAGCAAAAAAGUGAUUUUUAGCAUAUCUUAUAAAAAUGAACCGUAGUUCGGAUUGUUUUCUGGAACUUGAAAACAUGAAAUAGGAAUCGCAAGUAAUCGUAAACGAGUACGUUACGGUGAAACGUAAAACUGGUCU